rnacentral:rRNA from 1 species
UUUCGCAAUGCCCGAAAGGGUGACGAAGCGACGCCGCGUGUGGGAAGAAGGCCUUCGGGUUGUAAACCACUGUUGGGAGUUAGGAAGUGUGGAGGUGUUAAUAGCGCUUUCACUUGACUAAAGCUCCAGAGGAAGCCACGGCUAACUCUGUGCCAGCAGCCGCGGUAAUACAGAGGCGGCAAGCGUUGUUCGGAAUUAUUGGGCGUAAAGAGCACGUAGGCGGCUCUGCAAGUCAGCUGUGAAAGCCUUCUGCUUAACGGAAGAACGGCAGUUGAGACUACAGGGCUUGAGUACGGGAGGGGAGAGUGGAACUUCUGGUGGAGCGGUGAAAUGCGUAGAUAUCAGAAGGAACGCCGGCGGCGAAAGCGACUCUCUGGCCCGUAACUGACGCUGAGUGUGCGAAAGCUAGGGGAGCAAACGGGAUUAGAUACCCCGGUAGUCCUAGCCGUAAACGAUGGGCACUAAGUAGAGGGGUUUU